rnacentral:rRNA from 1 species
AGUAAUCUGCCUUCCGGUUUGGGAUAACUUCGGGAAACCGGGGCUAAUACCGACUCCGUUCACCAGGUCAUAAGACCCGGUGAAGAAAGGUGGCCUCUGAUUCAAGCUACUGCCGGAAGAUGAGCUCGCGCACCAUUAGGUAGUUGGUGAGGUAAUGGCCCACCAAGCCUACGAUGGUUAGCUGGUCUGAGAGGAUGAUCAGUCACACUGGCACUGAGAUACGGGCCAG